UACGUAGGGGGCUAGCGUUGUCCGGAUUUAUUGGGCGUAAAGAGCGUGUAGGCGGCCAGGUAGGUCUGCUGUGAAAACUCGAGGCUCAACCUCGAGACGUCGGCGGAAACCAUCUGGCUAGAGUCCGGAAGAGGAGAGUGGAAGUUCCUGGUGUAGCGGUGAAAUGCGCAGAUAUCAGGAAGAACACCCGUGGCGAAGGCGGCUCUCGUGGGACGGUACUGACGCUGAGACGCGAAAGCGUGGGGAGCGAACAGG
rnacentral:rRNA from 1 species